rnacentral:lncRNA from 1 species
GCACAGAGAUGAAAGGGACCACCUGCCAUGUCCCAGGGGGGAAAAAAAAAACAGGAAAAAAAACUUUUUGGUGUUUAAAUGUGCUAGAAGUCUCUGAUUUAAAAAGUAAAAAGGAUUUCUAACAAUUUAAAUUAGUUUGAAAAUAAUUAUGCAGCCAAGUUACCAUGUCAUUCUUAGUGUGCUAUGUGUGUGUGUGUAUUCCUUUGUCAUGGUGACAUUUUGUUGACCAUUUCAUCAUAAGGACAUCUUGUUAGGCAACAUUUCAUUGUAGGAACAUCUCUCCAUGCAGCAUCUUAUCACUGACAUUUUGUCAUCAACGUUACCAGGGACGUUUCGUCAUUCAGUACUCCACCACUGACAUUUCAUCGAAACCAUAGGCUAUAGUGGUAAUAGCUCAGUGUUGACAGUUAGUAUACUAAACCCCUUAAUUAUGUUCUUACACAUACAAUUAAGCUUUCCAGUUCCUGAUGUAAAGCUAUCCUUGUUAAUGGAGGGAAAGCACCUUUUACAUCUCUCUGCCCUGAGUUUUUUUUUUUUUUUUUUUUUUUUUCGGUCUUUUUUAUCUUUUUGUAGGGCUGCGCCCACAGCAUAUGGAGGUUCCCAGGCUAGGGGUCAAAUCGAAACUGUAGCCACCGGCCUACACCAGAGCCACAGCAACGCGGAAUAUGAGUCGCGUCUGACACCUACACCACAGUUCAUGGCAACACCAGAUCUUUAACCCACUGAGGCCAGGGAUUGAACCCACAACCUCAUGGUUCCUAGUCAAAUUCAUUAACCACCAAGCCAUGACAGGAACUCCUGCCCUGAAUUUUUCAAAACAAUUGUGAGAGUUGCAUUAAAUUAAAAUAUUGUAUAUAAAUGUGUAUGUCCUCAAAAUGUCUUCUAAACCCAUUUAAAAAGACUCUCGAUAGAAAAAAACUCAUGCCCAUGGGCCAAAUUCACUCUGCCACUUAGUUUUGUUAAAAAAAAAAAGUUUAAUUGGCAUAAUACCAAUAAUACCACACCUAUUUUAUUUACUGUCUAUAGCUACUUUUGCAGUUGAGAAAUGAUAAUAUAGACCUUCUAAAAUGAAAAGCCUAAAAUAUUUACUAUAGAGUCCUUAAUAGAAAAAGUGUGACAAUUCUCAGAAAAUGCUUAUUUUAAAUGUGGGUCAUGGGCCUGGCCACCAGGGUUUGGACUUGGGGUACACAUGUGAAGUGCCAGGGGUUCCUGCUAUGCAGGAAGAAGCCAAAGGCUUUGGGAGCCCAGGCUUGCACAGUCAGGGGCCCAAUGAUCUACCGUCCACCCUGAGCCCAAGUUGGGCCUGGAGGUUGAAGGGUGGGGAUGCCACUGCCUGUCUGGUAGGUGGGCAUGGGUGGAGGGGCAGGGGGAGGGUCUUAUUUCUGAAGACCCUCUUCUUCUGGGCUUGUGACACUAGGAUCUUCUCCUUGUUUUCCUUCUCUCUGUGGCUACCCCUCCAACCCUCUACAUCACCAUUUGCCAACAUAGUCUCAUCUGCUUGGAUGUUAAAAUUUAAAGUACAUCAUAGCUUAACUGUGAGCUUGUUUCUUUUAUCUCUAUGUUUUUAAAAAAUUAUUAUAUUAAUAAUAAUAACCUCUGGGCAAUCUAAUCCAUUUCCAAGGCUUUAAUGAAUAACUCUGUGCUUAUAAACCCAGAUUUUACCUCCAUGAAGAAUUAUAUAUACAACUACCUAGUUGAUUUUCUGAUCUAGAUGCCUCUAGUACAUCAUCUAUUAAAAAUGACCCAACAUUUUUUAAAAAAUACAAAUUUUAAAAAUAAAAAUAAAUGUUAAAAAAUGUGCAUUUUCAGGCCCAACCCAUGUUACAAAAUUAGAAUAUUCAUUGGUAGAACUCGGUAUUCUUCAUUUUAAUAACAAUCAGUUUUCUAACAGCGCACGUACAGUUACAAAAGGGAAGGAGCUACAACUGGAAAAGGUGGAAAACAUAAAAUUCUUCAAAUUUUCUUCUCAUUGUCUUCACAUACACACACAAAUACUUUGAAGAAUUUAUGCAGUUCACCUGAUUUAGUCUCAUGCUCAACUGCUUUCUAGGUCUAUCACAAAAGAAAGAAUGAGUAAGGGAUACAUUCAUUCAUUACCCAACCAAUUAAUUGGUCCUAUAGCCUUAACGAAGUCACCAUCUAAACAAUAUAUAAACAGUUUAGGGGGGUCUGGCAAGAUGGCAGAAGAGGAGGACAUGAGCUCCCCUCUUUCACAAAUACAUCAAAAAUACAUUUACAUGUGAAACGACUGUAAUGGAAAUAUCUACUGAAAGCUGGCAGAAGACCUCAGACUUUCAAAAGUGCAAGAAAAUCUCCAUGUAACUGGGUAAGACAAAAGAAAGAAGAAAGAAAGAAAGAGAGAAAGAAAGAAAGAGAGAAAGAGAGAGAGAAAGAAAGAGAGAAAGAAAGAGAGAGAAGAAAGAAAGAAAGAAAGAAAGAAAGAAAGAAAGAAAGAAAGAAAGAAAGAAAGAAAGAAAGAGGGAGGGAAGGAAGGAAGGAAGGAAGGAAGGAAGGAAGGAAGGAAGGAAGGAAAGAAAUCCAGACCCAGAUAGGACUAGCACCCCUGGGAGGGAGUUAUGAAAGAGGAAAGGUUUCUGCAAACUGGAAGGCCCUUCAUUGGCAAAGAGACCAGCCAGGACAGAGAGGGAACUUCAGAGCCCUGAAGGAGAGUACAGCAACUGGUUUGAAGAGGGCAAUUAAAGAAAGACCUACAGAAGGUUGGUGCUGCCUGCCUGGCAUGCCCCAGCCUGAGACACCUGUCUACUGGAGUGGGUGAGAGCUGUGUACUGAGGCUCAGGCUUUGGAGGUCAGAUCUGGGGAAAGGACUGAGGUUUGCUGCAUGGAAACAACCUGAGGGGAGUGGGGUGUGGUGUACCACAACCACGGGAGUGUAGGAAGAAGCCUGGGCCUGCCAAAGAUAUUGGGAGCCAUUAUUGGGGGGAUGUGAGAGGGGAGGAGUGGGACUGCCAUAGGAAGUUCUUUCUCCAUGUGCAGGUUGUCAGGUGGUGGGCCCUACUUGCUUGAACUCCAGGGUCAGUGAGAGCUACCAUUGCCAUCUCAGUCUUUAGAGGUGGCCCAAACCACUGCCUCUACUAGCGUCUCAUGAACAGGCAACAGUCAUUGCCCUCACCUCCCUGGGAGCACACAUGACCCACUUCCACUGACACCACCACCACUGAGGAUCCCGUGACCAGGCACCAACCUCCAUCCCCACCUCCCUGCCCAAUGCCACUGCUAGUGAGUUGGGCAACUUGCCUCCCUGGAAGCAAAGGCAGUCCACCACUGCCACCACCAAGAGAUCCACAACCACAUGGCCAGGUGCCAACUGCUACGUCCACAUUCCUGGGGUACACAUGGCCACUAGCAGCCACUGCUGAGAGUCCCAUGACCAGGCACCAAACUCUCUCUCCCUCUUUCCACAAACACAUGUGGUCUCACACCUUCACAGCCCCUAUCAAGGGGAUAAUGGCCAGGACACACUAAGGAAAGAGACAGCAAACAUCCAAACCAAAAGCAGCUCUCAAGCCAAAAAUAUAUAUAUAUAUGUAAAAUCCACACAAGCGAUGCAGUGAUUCUUUCCCAUAUAAAUAGCCCUCUAACACUGCAAUAGACAAUUACUUCUAAACUCACAGAGUAGGAGAAAUACAAGCAAAAUGAAGAAGCAGAGGAACCACUCCCAGUUAAGAGAUGAAGAGAAGUACCCUGAAGGAACAAUGAAACAGACCUCUUCAGUCUAAUAAACACCAAGUUCAAAAAGGAGAUAAUGAAAAUACUGAAGGAAUUAAGAAAGGCUAUCAACAGAAAUGUAGAUUAUACUGUAAAAGAAACUAGAAACUAUAAGGAGAAAUCAAGAAAAAUUGGAAAAUGCAUCUGUCCAGACAAAAGUUGAGCUAAAAGCAUGCAAUAACAGAAUGAAUAUUGAAGAAGAAAGUAUAAGUGAUCUGAAAGAUGGAAUAAUAUAAAUUGCCCAAUCAAAACAGCAGACAGAAAACCAAAUUAAAACAAUAUAGUAGACCUAUGGGAUAUUAUAGAGCAUGCAAAUAUAUGCAUAAUAGGGAUUCCAGAAGGAGAAGAAAGACAAAAGGGGAUUGAAAAUGUAUUUGAAGAAAGUAUGGCUGGUCCAUAUAGUUUCUCUUAAUGCCAUGUAAUAGUGUCCCAUUAUCUUUAUGGCUGCAUAUUUCAAACUAUUAAUUUGUUUAUUUUUUUAUUUUCCCAGGUUCUUUACUCCAAUUCAAGCAAAUAGCUUGUACUCCCCUCAUGCCUCAGGGGAGGUAUAUAUUAAGGUAGAAAGUAGAAGCAAUGUAUGUCGACUUCUGGAUUUUGUUUCUCAAAGCUUAAGCCCACAGUAGAACUUAGAAUGUUUAUAAAGGUAAUGUAAGGGCCAAGGAGAUUUUCUAAGGAGAAAAAAGAAAGUGCCUCUUGGGUUAGGAUUUCCUGAGACUAAAAAGGAUAGAGAGAGGGAGGGAGCAGGAGAAAGAGGCCUAUGGGUUCCUGAGUAGUGGGGGUCAUCUGUUGCUUCCUGGCAGCAAAGCCAGGGAGGUGGAAAACAAGGAGAGCUCAGACAGAGAGUUCCCUACCUUAGAAAAAACCCUGAUGGCCCUGAUGGGUCAAUGAAGGCUCUGCUGUUAAUUGAGAGGGGACAGGUGAGGUCACCCUAUUCUCCAUGUCUCAACACUGGAUAAAGUUCCUAAACCUUCCUGGUGUGGUAAAGAAUCUUUAAGAAAGAAUGAAAUUAACUUCUCUGCCUGUUUGGUGGAUUGAGGUCUCCAAGUUAGGAGUUAAACUGAGACAUAGAACAUAAAUAGACAUUUCUUGCAAUCUGAGUUAGGUGACAGACAUUCAGAUCUGCUGCAUAAAGAUUAUUUGCUUAAUCAUUUUUUGGCUGCACUUAGGCUUCUUUUGUAAACAGAGAAGAAAA